ACUUAAAUAACUUAUAUAGAGUAUAAUAUUGAAGAUGUUAGAGUGAUUAUUUUAAUCUUUAAGUA
rnacentral:tRNA from 1 species